CCUUAUCUGGCCUGAGGAAGUUGAGUUGGACUUAUCUGGCCUGAGGAAGUUGAGUUGGACUUAUCUGGCCUGAGGAAGUUGGACUUAUCUGGCCUGAGGAAGUUGAGUUGGACUUAUCUGGCCUGAGGAAGUUGGACUUAUCUGGCCUGAGGAAGUUGAGUUGGACUUAUCUGGCCUGAGGAAGUUGGACUUAUCUGGCCUGAGGAAGUUGAGUUGGACUUAUCUGGCCUGAGGAAGUUGGACUUAUCUGGCCUGUGGAAGUUGGACUUAUCUGGCCUGAGGAAGUUGGACUUAUCUGGCCUGAGGAAGUUGAGGGAGAUCAGAUGGAUAAAUGGUUGGACUGGAUAGCCUGGUUUCCCAUCUGGGAACAAGAAGGGUCUUAAAAGCAGGAAUAAUAACUGGGAUAUGGGUUCUCGUUAUUCCGACAGCUGACAGAAUGUGAUUAGAUCUCAAAUGGCCCCCUGAUAUCCCUCCUGGUAGAGGAGUAUCCCAUGUGAAAUGUAACUAACCACUCACUCAGCUCUGACAGUUGGACUCUUCCUUCAUUCAGUCCACUUGUUUUUGUUAGUUGACACAGUAGCGCGACCUCAUGUUGACACCAUGUCCUCGUUGGACCAUAGAUAGGAUCAACAACAACAACAACAACAACAACGAGACAACCUGACGUCAGCCAUUCCACCUAUCAGCUUGGCCCUGACACGACUCCCUGAUCCUCCUGUGUGACACGCCAAGGGACACUGUGGAGACCUUGAACUACACAAAGAGAAGAUUUAUCUGGUCACCGGCAGACAGACAGACAGUGCCUGUCAAGCAUUUCACUUGGGCUGUAAUGUGGUGAACUGAGAGAGAUGGAGAGAGAGACAGACAGAAUAUAACAACAGAGAGAGACAGAACAGACUAUGAAGACAGAGAGAGAGAGACAGACUAUGAAGACAGAGGGAGAGAGAGACUAUGAAGACAGAGAGAGAGACAGACUAUGAAGACAGAGAGACAGACAGACUAUGAAGACAGAGAGAGAGAGAGAGAGACAGAGAGACUAUAACAACAGAGAGAGACAGAGACAGACUAUGAAGACAGAGAGAGAGACAGACUAUGAAGACAGAGAGAGAGACAGACUAUGAAGACAGAGAGAGAGAGACAGACAGACUAUAACAACAGAGAGAGACAGAGACAGACUAUGAAGACAGAGAGAGAGAGACAGACUAUGAAGACAGAGAGAGAGAGACAGACUAUGAAGACAGAGAGAGAGAGACAGACUAUGAAGACAGAGAGAGACUAUGAAGACAGAGAGACUAUGAAGACAGAGAGACAGACUAUGAAGACAGAGAGACUAUGAAGACAGAGAGAGAGACAGACUAUGAAGACAGAGAGACAGACUAUGAAGACAGAGAGACAGACUAUGAAGACAGAGAGACAGAUAGACUAUGAAGACAGAGAGAGAGAGAGACUAUAACAGACAGAGAGAGACAGAUAGACUAUGAAGACAGAGAGAGAGACAGACUAUGAAGACAGAGAGAGAGACAGACUAUGAAGACAGAGAGAGACAGAUAGACUAUGAAGACAGAGAGACAGACUAUGAAGACAGAGAGAGAGAGAGACAGAGAGACUAUGAAGACAGAGAGAGACAGACUAUGAAGACAGACAGAGAGAGAGAGACAGACUAUGAAGACAGAGACAGACAGAGAGAGAGAGACAGUCUUCCAUAGAGAGCCUUAGAUACAGAGUGAGGGACAAUAUAACAGCCCCAGUCCCUCCUACCAGCCAUUUCCUGUUCUAUCCAGUUAACCAUUAACUCUGACAAUCCUUCUACACACCAGAUAAUGGCUGGGUCCCCAAUGGUGCCAUUUGGGAUGCAGUCAAUGUGGGAAUCCUAUCUGACACCAGAUACCAUGUGAUGUAAACAACAAUAUCUGACACCAGAUACCAGAUACCAUGUGAUGUAAACAACAAUAUCUGACACCAGAUACUAGAUACCAUGUGAUGUAAACAACAAUAUCUGACACCAGAUACUAGAUACCAUGUGAUGUAAACAACAAUAACUGACACCAGAUACCAUGUGAUGUAAACAACAAUAUCUGACACCAGAUACUAGAUACCAUGUGAUGUAAACAACAAUAUCUAACACCAGAUACCAUGUGAUGUAAACAACAAUAUCUGACACCAGAUACCAUGUGAUGUAAACAACAAUAUCUGACACCAGAUACCAUGUGAUGUAAACAACCAUAUCUGACACCAGAUACCAUGUGAUGUAAACAACAAUAUCUGACACCAGAUACUAGAUACCAUGUGAUGUAAACAACAAUAUCUGACACCAGAUACUAGAUACCAUGUGAUGUAAACAACAAUAUCUGACACCAGAUACCAUAUACCAUGUGAUGUAAACAACAAUAUCUGACACCAGAUACCAUGUGAUAACAACAACAAUAUCUGACACCAGAUACCAUGUGAUGUAAACAACAAUAUCUGACACCAGAUACCAUGUGAUGUAAACAACCAUAUCUGACACCAGAUACCAUGUGAUGUAAACAACAAUAUCUGACACCAGAUACCAUGUGAUGUAAACAACAAUAUCUGACACCAGAUACUAGAUAACAUGUGAUGUAAACAACAAUAUCUGACACCAGAUACUAGAUACCAUGUGAUGUAAACAACAAUAUCUAACACCAGAUACCAUGUGAUGUAAACAACAAUAUCUGACACCAGAUACUAGAUACCAUGUGAUGUAAACAACAAUAUCUAACACCAGAUACCAUGUGAUAACAACAACAAUAUCUGACACCAGAUACCAUGUGAUGUAAACAACAAUAUCUGACACCAGAUACCAUGUGAUGUAAACAACAAUAUCUGACACCAGAUACCAUGUGAUGUAAACAACAAUAUCUGACACCAGAUACCAUGUGAUGUAAACAACAAUAUCUGACACCAGAUACCAUGUGAUGUAAACAACAAUAUCUGACACCAGAUACCAUGUGAUGUAAACAACAAUAUCUGACACCAGAUACCAUGUGAUGUAAACAACAAUAUCUGACACCAGAUACUAGAUACCAUGUGAUGUAAACAACAAUAUCUGACACCAGAUACCAUAUACCAUGUGAUGUAAACAACAACAUCUGAUUCUAAACUGGCUCAUGUGUGAACAACAUCUGACACCAGAUACCAUGUGAUGUAAACAACAACAUCUGAUUCUAAACUGGCUCAUGUGUGAACAACAUCUGACACCAGAUACCAUGUGAUGUAAACAACAACAUCUGAUUCUAAACUGGCUCAUGUGUGAACAACAUCUGAUUCUAAACUGGCUCAUGUGUGAACAACAUCUGACACCAGAUACCAUGUGACGUAAACAACAACAUCUGACACCAGAUACCAUGUGACGUAAACAACAACAUCUGAUUCUAAACUGGCUCAUGUGUGAACAACAUCUGAUUCUAAACUGGCUCAUGUGUGAACAACAUCUGAUUCUAAACUGGCUCAUGUGUGAACAACAUCUGAUUCUAAACUGGCUCAUGUGUGAACAACAUCUGAUUCUAAACUGGCUUAUGUGUGAACAACAUCUGAUUCUAAACUGGCUCAUGUGUGAACAACAUCUGAUUCUAAACUGGCUCAUGUGUGAACAACAUCUGACACCAGAUACCAUAUACCAUGUGACGUAAACAACAACAUCUGACACCAGUUACCAUGUGAUGUAAACAACAACAUCUGACACCAGUUACCAUGUGAUGUAAACAACAACAUCUGAUUCUAAACUGGCUCAUGUGUGAACAACAUCUGAUUCUAAACUGGCUCAUGUGUGAACAACAUCUGAUUCUAAACUGGCUCAUGUGUGAACAACAUCUGAUUCUAAACUGGCUCAUGUGUGAACAACAUCUGAUUCUAAACUGGCUCAUGUG